GAUGAACGCUGGCGGCGUGCCUAAUACAUGCAAGUCGAACGCUGAAGCUUGGUGCUUGCACCGAGCGGCUGAGUUGCGAACGGGUGAGUAACGCGUAGGUAACCUGCCUCUUAGCGGGGGAUAACUAUUGGAAACGAUAGCUAAUACCGCAUAAAAGUCGAUAUCGCAUGAUAUUGAUUUGAAAGGUGCAAAUGCAUCACUAAGAGAUGGACCUGCGUUGUAUUAGCUAGUUGGUGAGGUAACGGCUCACCAAGGCGACGAUACAUAGCCGACCUGAGAGGGUGAUCGGCCACACUGGGACUGAGACACGGCCCAGACUCCUACGGGAGGCAGCAGUAGGGAAUCUUCGGCAAUGGGGGCAACCCUGACCGAGCAACGCCGCGUGAGUGAAGAAGGUUUUCGGAUCGUAAAGCUCGGUUGUAAGAGAAGAACGAGUGUGAGAGUGGAAAGUUCACACUGUGACGGUAACUUACCAGAAAGGGACGGCUAACUACGUG
rnacentral:rRNA from 1 species